rnacentral:rRNA from 1 species
CAGUAGCCGCGGUAAUACGAAGGGGGCUAGCGUUGUUCGGAAUUACUGGGCGUAAAGCGCACGUAGGCGGAUUGUUGAGUUAGGGGUGAAAUCCCAGGGCUCAACCCUGGAACUGCCUUUAAUACUGGCAAUCUCGAGUCCGAGAGAGGUGAGUGGAAUUCCGAGUGUAGAGGUGAAAUUCGUAGAUAUUCGGAGGAACACCAGUGGCGAAGGCGGCUCACUGGCUCGGUACUGACGCUGAGGUGCGAAAGCGUGGGGAGCAAACAGGAUUAGAUACCCCUGUAGUCCCUGUCUCUUAUAC